UUGUCGUAUCUACCAACGAUUUCGAGAAAAAAAUUUUGAAAAAAUAUUGCAGCAUUCAAUAGCAUUCAUCUCCGCUUAAAAUUCACUAUUGAAUUAGAAUCACGAGAUGAUACACUACCUUUUUUAGAUACAUUGUUGAUUAGACGAAAUAAUAGGAUAAUAACAGACUGGUACCAAAAACCAACAUUUUCCGGGAGAAUACUUAAUUUCAACUCAAAACACAAUAUGGCACAGAAAAUUAACAUCAUUAAUAAUUUAAAACAUAGAGCUCUCAAACUUUCUAACAACGAAUUUCACGAACAAAAUAUCAUUAAAAUAAAAUCAAUUCUGGAAAAAAAUAACUAUCCCGCUAAAUUCAUAAAUGAAAUUCUUAACAGAAAAGAACCUGAGCACCACAGACCACAAGAAAAAGAGGAAAACAAAAAGUAUUUCAAAGUAACUUACGUUGAAAAUCUAGGAGAGCAAAUCAAGAAUAUAUUCACCAAAUUAAACAUCAAUAUAGCAUUGAAAUCUGAUAAUACUAUAAAAAAAUUCUUCACAAAAACUAAGAGUGCAACCCCCAUAGAAUUACUCAGUAACAUCAUCUAUAAAAUAUCUUGUAAAGACUGUCCAGCCACAUAUAUAGGACAAACUGGUCGGUACCUUAAGGACCGAAUUUCUGAACACAAAAGAGACUCCCUAACAUCCUCAAUCCAUUGAAGAACAAAAAAAAAAUAAUACUGCAUUAGCGGAGCACGUAAGAAAUCUCCUUCAUUCAUUUAAUUUCGAUCCGGGCUCAGUAGGAAUAUUAGGUAGGCUGACAAAUUUAAAGAAACGGUUAUUACAUGAGAUGAUAUCCAUAAAACAGGACAAAAAUUCUAUCAAUAAGAGAAAUGACAUAGAAAACCUGAAUACCGCGUACUAUUAUUUAAUAGGAAAAAUGAAAGAUUGAUAGAAAUUGUUGUCCAACCAAGAUUAAACGUGCACACUCCAUAAACAACUGAUAUGCAAACCUCAGUUUUUAAAAAGUCCCCUAUGCAAGCAGUUGGUAUCAUUUCCAACAUUUUAAUUAUUGACAACGGAACCACACAAAGUGAAAAUAGCCCUGAUGAAGACUUUGAAAUAAAGUCGAAACUAGUUGGCCUUUUUUACAGAAAGUUGGUUUUGUGAAUAUAUCCCUGACCUAGAAACCUGUUAAAGAUCACCGAAUUUAUAACAUCUAUAUCAUUUUGUCUAAUACUUUUUUUUUCUUGACUACUGUCAAGAAGUUGUCAUAUUUUCUUUGUAUUUUUGUAACGUUUUUAUUAAUAGAAUAGAAUCAGUAUAAAUUUAUGGGAGAUGAUUCCCCCAUAUAAGGGGCCUGUAGCGAUCCUGGUACACCUGAGGAUUCAUCACUUGGAGAAUCGGUCCUGGUUGAAUAAAACCUCUCGAUAUUGGAGCAGUUUGGUACCAUUUACUUAAAUAUUGAAGGGAUUUCUAAGAACAGGAGUGAUUUAUUUUGUCGACAUUGGUCAUAGACAAUGACGCGGCGGUCAUCCUUCUUCAAGAAACCCGCAAGACAAUUGAACAACUUCGUGAAAGAGAAUUUUAGCAGGUUAUGUAUUGAUAUAUUGCCUAUUGAGUUUGCUUGUUCUCUGGCUUAUUAUGUUGGAAAAUCAUUAGUUAGUUUUUGGCCUAUAAAUUUCGAUGUCAUUCUUUCUUAUCCUUCAAUUUAUUGUGGUGAUUUCAAUUGUCACCAUUCAAUGUUAUAUAUGAUGGAAAUUAUAACAUUUAUUGCUCC